rnacentral:rRNA from 1 species
GACGAACGCUGGCGGCGUGCUUAACACAUGCAAGUCGAACGGUAAGGCCCUUCGGGGUACACGAGUGGCGAACGGGUGAGUAACACGUGGGUGAUCUGCCCUGCACUUCGGGAUAAGCCUGGGAAACUGGGUCUAAUACCGGAUAGGACCACUGCCUGCAUGGGUGGUGGUGGAAAGCUUUUGCGGUGUGGGAUGGGCCCGCGGCCUAUCAGCUUGUUGGGGGGGUGAUGGCCUACCAAGGCGACGACGGGUAGCCGGCCUGGGGGGGUGACCGGCCACUCUGGACCGGGGAUACGGCCGAGACUCCAACGGUGGGCAGGUGUGGGGAAUAUUGCACAACGGGCGCGAGCCUGAGGCAGCGACGCCGCGAGAGGGAUGACGGCCUUCGGGUUGUAAACCGCUUUCAGCACCGACGAAGCGCAAGUGACGGUAGGUGCAGAAGAAGGACCGGCCAACUACGUGCCAGCAGCCGCCGUAA